rnacentral:rRNA from 1 species
UUAUCGGAGAGUUUGAUCCUGGCUCAGGACGAACGCUGGCGGCGUGCCUAAUACAUGCAAGUCGAGCGGACAGAUGGGAGCUUGCUCCCUGAUGUUAGCGGCGGACGGGUGAGU